rnacentral:rRNA from 1 species
AACGAACGCUGGCGGCAGGCUUAACACAUGCAAGUCGAGCGCCCCGCAAGGGGAGCGGCAGACGGGUGAGUAACGCGUGGGAAUCUACCCAUCUCUACGGAAUAACGCAUGGAAACGUGUGCUAAUACCGUAUACGUCCUUCGGGCGAAAGAUUUAUCGGAGAUGGAUGAGCCCGCGUUGGAUUAGCUAGUUGGAGGGGUAAAGGCCUACCAAGGCGACGAUCCAUAGCUGGUCUGCGAGGAUGAUCAGCCACACUGGGACUGAGACACGGCCCAGACUCCUACGGGAGGCAGCAGUGGGGAAUAUUGGACAAUGGGCGCAAGCCUGAUCCAGCCAUGCCGCGUGAGUGAUGAAGGCCCUAGGGUUGUAAAGCUCUUUCACCGGUGAAGAUAAUGACGGUAACCGGAGAAGAAGCCCCGGCUAACUUCGUGCCAGCCGCCGCCGUAACAC